GGUUUAGCUUAAGAAUGAUCAAAAUCUUUAACAAAUGUGUCUUGUGAAAGGUUAUUCAUGCCACUUUCCAAAAACUCUUCUGUAUACGAAGAUCAAUAGCUAAUGACUGAGUCAAGUUUACAAGAGGUAAAUUGACACAUGAAUCAUCAGUAUUUAACUUUUUUUUCUUUUGCAACCUGUUAACAAAUAUAAAAGGAUAUUAUAGAAUAGAAUAUCAUAAACGUCAAGUUCCAAAAAGCAUAUUAAACAAACAAACGUCAACUUCAAACUACAUCCAUUACAUAAACGUCAAGUUUCAAAUACAAAUUACACAUACAAAACUCAAGUUCAAAAUAGAGCCAUUACAUAAAUGUCAUGUUCCAAAUACAUAUUACACAUACAAAAUUCCAAAUACAUAUUACAUACUAAAAUUACAAAAUGUAAUUCCGCCUAGUUCCAAGUUACAACAACAUAGCUUCAAAGACCUAAAUUCCAUCGCGUAGUUCCAAACAUCCAAGUUCCAACAAUUUUUAACGCUUUCUCUUAAUGAUUACCUUUUUCUUUGAUGGAGCUGUGUCUUUUUUGCUCGUGUUAGGACCAGUGUCGAUUAUGCUCUUGGUUGAUAA
rnacentral:lncRNA from 1 species